rnacentral:rRNA from 1 species
AGAGUUUGAUCCUGGCUCAGGAUGAACGCUGGCGGCGUGCCUAAUACAUGCAAGUCGAACGCACAGCGAAAGGUGCUUGCACCUUUCAAGUGAGUGGCGAACGGGUGAGUAACACGUGGACAACCUGCCUCAAGGCUGGGGAUAACAUUUGGAAACAGAUGCUAAUACCGAAUAAAACUUAGUGUCGCAUGACACAAAGUUAAAAGGCGCUUCGGCGUCACCUAGAGAUGGAUCCGCGGUGCAUUAGUUAGUUGGUGGGGUAAAGGCCUACCAAGACAAUGAUGCAUAGCCGAGUUGAGAGACUGAUCGGCCACAUUGGGACUGAGACACGGCCCAAACUCCUACGGGAGGCUGCAGUAGGGAAUCUUCCACAAUGGGCGAAAGCCUGAUGGAGCAACGCCGCGUGUGUGAUGAAGGCUUUCGGGUCGUAAAGCACUGUUGUAUGGGAAGAACAGCUAGAAUAGGAAAUGAUUUUAGUUUGACGGUACCAUACCAGAAAGGGACGGCUAAAUACGUGCCAGCAGCCGCGGUAAUACGUAUGUCCCGAGCGUUAUCCGGAUUUAUUGGGCGUAAAGCGAGCGCAGACGGUUUAUUAAGUCUGAUGUGAAAGCCCGGAGCUCAACUCCGGAAUGGCAUUG